rnacentral:misc_RNA from 1 species
AAGUCGUAACAAGGUUUCCGUAGGUGAACCUGCGGAAGGAUCAUUAAUGCUACUUUCCACUUGAGGGAAUCGCUAGCCUUGCGGUAAGCAUUCUCACAAGCGUGAACGUGUAUCUCUUAUCUUAAACGCUUAAGGAACUUUUAGUUCCCUAACGUACCAAGUAACUUGAGAAGCCUUUGCUGUUUUUUCGGAGAUAGCAAGUGUUUUUCUCACUUUUUUUUUACUACCAUAAUUACCCUAUUAACUUAUAAACUAUUAGACUGAUAUAAAAUAACAUUUAUUUUAUAAAUGUAUGAUACAACUCUUAGCAAUGGAUAUCUAGGCUCUU